UCUCCGUAGGUGAACCUGCGGAGGGAUCAUUACUGAGUGAGGGCUCACGCCCGACCUCCAACCCCAUGUGAACCGCAACUGUUGCUUCGGGGGCGACCCUGCCGUUUCGACGGCGAGCGCCCCCGGAGGCUCAUCAAACACUGCAUCUCUGCGUCGGAGUCUUAAUGAAUCUAAACAAAACUUUUAACAACGGAUCUCUUGGUUCUGGCAUCGAUGAAGAACGCAGC
rnacentral:misc_RNA from 1 species